GGCUCAGGACGAACGCUGGCGGCGUGCUUAACACAUGCAAGUGGAGCGACGAACCAGGGCUUGCCCUGGGGCAAAGCCGCGAACGGGUGAGUAACACGUGGGUAACCUGCCCUGUUGAUUGGGACAACCCCGGGAAACCGGGGCUAAUACCAAAUGUGCUCCUUCCACAUCAGUGGAUUGAGGAAAGGAGGCUUCGGCUUCCGCAACGGGAUGGGCCCGCGGCCCAUUAGCUUGUUGGUGGGGUAACGGCCUACCAAGGCUUCGAUGGGUAGCUGGUCUGAGAGGACGAUCAGCCACACUGGGACUGAGACACGGCCCAGACUCCUACGGGAGGCAGCAGUGGGGAAUCUUGCGCAAUGCGCGAAAGCGUGACGCAGCAACGCCGCGUGAGGGAAGACGGCCUUCGGGUUGUAAACCUCUUUCAGUUGGGACGAAGCCUUGGCGGUUAAUACCCGCUUGGGGUGACGGUACCUUCAGAAGAAGCCCCGGCUAACUACGUGCCAGCAGCCGCGGUAAUACGUAGGGGGCAAGCGUUGUCCGGAAUCAUUGGGCGUAAAGCGCGUGUAGGCGGCUCAGUAAGUCCGCUCUGAAAGCCCGGGGCUCAACCCCGGGAGGCGGGUGGAUACUGCUGAGCUUGAGUCCGGAAGAGGCGAGUGGAAUUCCCGGUGUAGCGGUGAAAUGCGCAGAUAUCGGGAGGAACACCAAUGGCGAAGGCAGCUCGCUGGGACGUGACUGACGCUGAGACGCGAAAGCGUGGGGAGCAAACAGGAUUAGAUACCCUGGUAGUCCACGCCGUAAACGAUGGGCACUAGGUGUGGGAGGUGUCGACUCCUCCCGUGCCGAAGCUAACGCAUUAAGUGCCCCGCCUGGGGAGUACGGCCGCAAGGCUAAAACUC
rnacentral:rRNA from 1 species